rnacentral:misc_RNA from 1 species
GAUUGAAGAACGUAGUGAAAUGCGAUAAGUAAUGUGAAUUGCAGAAUUCAGUGAAUCAUCGAAUCUUUGAACGCACAUUGCGCCCGCCAGUAUUCUGGCGGGCAUGCCUGUUCGAGCGUCAUUUCAACCCUCAAGCCCCUCGGGGGGCCUGGCGUUGGGAGACGGCACCCCCCACCGGGUGCCGCCCCCGAAAGACAGUGGCGGCCCCGCCGUCUGCCUCCUCUGCGUAGUAGAAACACCUCGCACUGGGACGCGGCGCGGCCAUGCCGUAAAACCUCCAACUUCUGAAGGUUGACCUCGGAUCAGGUAGGAAUACCCGCUGAACUUAAGCAUAUCAAUAAGCGGAGGA